UCGUCACUGCAUCUGCACAAAGUUGCUGUAAUUUUUUAAAAUAUUAUUCUCCUAAAAUUUUGAAGUAUUCAUCUUUUCAAAUCUAAUUUUUUUCAAAAUGAUGACGUGAAAAGAAGAAUAAGAUCUUGUUCAUUCAAACUGGACCAACGCAGUGAUUUUAUUUUCAUGGAAACUUGCUUAGUACAGCUCUCUGGAUAACACAAUGGCAAGGGAGAAAUGUCUGGUUAUUUUUGUUUUCAUAGUAAUAUCACAAUUAGUAUUAUCGACACCGCUGACCGUUGUGUCAGACAAAUCUGGUGAACAGCAAGUGAAAGAAGCGUUGCGAAAAGCCGAACAGGAGGCCGAGAAGGCAGCCAAGGAGGGCAAAACGACAGAGAAACCAAAGGAUCAAGGGACUAAGGAAUCAAAUAUCCAAGGUCAUAAAAAUGAGAUGCUCGAAGGAAUUAAUAACGAUAGAGACGAGCAAGCAAAUAAACGCAUGAAGGCUAUGGCAGCCAAACUGAACAAUUUAGUGAUGAAAUUCCAGAGAAAAGUGAUGGCAAAUAAAUUGCACCGUGCCCUUGAACGAAGAGUUGCCUUAGCAAACGUGGGCAAAAAGAGAGGUCAAGCAUCUAAAUCUUCAAGUGUAUCGCAAAAAAAUUCUGCCUUGGAUCUCAGUGGACUGGCAGAUCCUUUGUCAUCACCCAACAACCCCAUGGCAACAGCGUACAAAGAGGAUACAAGACUAGAAGAUCGCUUAGCACUUGAGGCAGAAGAAGAAAAGAAAGUUAAAGAUGGAGAAACAUAUGAUGAAGAUGCUGGAUAUGGUGACUCAAUGAAGAACUACGCUGGAACGACCAGUCUAUCCCCCAAGGAGCAGGCAUCACAAGAAAUGCAGCAAUACAGUGCCCUGAUAUCGUCAGAGAGUAGCAGAGAACUAUCUCAAAUCCAAGACGAAAUCUCAAAAGCGACACAAAGCAGCAUGGGGAAAGUUUCUGUACAGGGAGAGAACUUGAAUGCACCCUUAGAAUCCACAUCACCUGCAAAAGGCCUCGAUUUAGGAGGGCUAGGAAGUCUGGGUGGUUCAAGUUUUGCUGGGUUUGGAAACAAUCUUGGAGGGCUUGGAUCUUUGGAUAGUGGAGCAGCGCUAGGUUCACAAUCACUCAGUCCACAGUCUCUCACAGGAGAUUCUGGCUUACCAGGUUUAAACCUUGGCGGACAAUCUGAUGCAGCAAGUGUCUUGGGUGGAUCGUCGCAAGACCAAAGUCUCGCAGGUGCAAUCGACAUAAAUCCAAUGUCUGGAUCUCAAAAUGCAGAACAACUGCCUGGUUUGUUAGGCGGAGGAGCAGGGCUUCAGGGUGCAAGUCAAGAUGCGGGACAGAGUCUUGGAGGAAUGCCUGUGCAAGGAACGUUUAGCAAAAAGUAAACCAACAUUGUUUGAAGGUGAUGGCUGAAUUCCACUUGACUCGAAAAUCACAAAACAAAAAGCGAAGGCAUCCAAGUCAAAGAGACGCAACACACAUAAAGCAAGAAAGGGAAGAAAGAAUUGAGCAAGAUUUAUUCCCAGAAAGCAGAAAACAAGGCAGUGAACUAAACACUAUAAACUUCUUUGUAUGCAGCCCUAUACUUCUUAGAAGCCGCAUUUUGUAACAUUUUCAAGUAAGAACUAACGAUUUGUAGAUUAACAACUACAUUGAAUUAAACACAGGGUCUAGACCAUGUAAACACUGCUUCGAUGAAGAAUCCUGGUCUGGGCUAAUUAAAACUAGAACCAAAUUAUUAUCGAUUCUUGCUUUACAUUCAAUUUUUUCUAUCAAUGUUUCUGGGGAUUGGCAAACUGUGUUCUGAAGAAAACUGUUGUUUUUUAAUAGAUCCGUUCACGAAUACAGAGAAAUAGAGGUUAUGAACCAAAAUUCAUAAUUUGCUUGCACUGCAGUGUUUAGAAAAUGUAUUAAUAAAGCUAUUAUUACUCGAGAAUAUAAAUAUUGGACAUAAUUUGUACCUUAAACCCGAGAUGCAAUAUUCUAUUUAACUACAAACUAUAAA